rnacentral:rRNA from 1 species
GAGUUUGAUCGUGGCUCAGGAUGAACGCUGGCGGCGUGCCUAAUACAUGCAAGUCGUACGAACAGCGGAAAGUGCUUGCACUUCCAAGUAAGUGGCGAACGGGUGAGUAACACGUGAAGUAACCUACCUCAAAGUCUGGGAUAACCAUUGGAAACAGUGACUAAUACCGGAUAAAACCUAGUAGCACAUGCUACAAGGUUAAAAGCUGCGUUUGCAGCGCUUUAAGAUGGAUUCGCGGUGCA